rnacentral:misc_RNA from 1 species
CCACGAUUCAAAUUCCGUCCGGUACCUUUUUUACCAUCAUUUAAAAUUUACCAAUUAAAUAUCGCCCAUCGGAUGAUCAUCAUCAUACUAAAAAAAUAGCACAAUGAUAGCGCGCGCUUUUGGAGCACCGGAGGCACCAGUUCGGAAGCAAAAUAGUGGGUCCCAGCAUCACAAGACUUCUUGCCUUAUCCCGUCGUCCCUGGCAGCAACUGUUUGGGAAUUCAAAAUAAAACUACUGUAGAAACCAGUCGUUGCCCUAGACAUUUCCAGGAAGCUUCCUCCUAAUCAUACCUCUCUUCUUCGUCUCACUCGCAACAACAACAAGAAAGGGAAGAAAAAGUCUUUACUUUUGAUAAGAACUGCAGUAGUUGAUCAAUUUCUGAUAUUUUCUUCCUUGGGAUUGAAAUUCCAUUACUUUGGGGUGUAUGAAGAAGAUUCUUGGGUUUAUUUAUUUGUUGAAGGUUGGAUUUUCAGUGCACAUUGUAACUUCUUCAAUAAGCUGUAGUCAUGAAUUUUCCCCAGGAGAAGUUUGUGAGGUUUCAGGAUUGGAAGUCAGAGAAAAGUACCGAAGUACAAUAUUCUGGAAGUAAUGGGAUACAUUCAGGAAAAGUUAGGAUGACUAUAAGCUCCGUUUCUGAGAAGUUUCAAAGAGGAUUAGAAUCUGGCUCUGAAAGCAUCAACAGAAUUAGAAAAUCAUUGAAAUCAUAUUCAUUUAGUAGUACUAUUGCUAAAGGCUUGAAUUCCAGGAAAAAAGUUCUUGACCCUCAGGGACCUUUCCUACAAAAAUGGAAUAAGAUAUUUGUAUUAUCAUGUGUGAUUGCCGUUUCACUGGAUCCUUUGUUCCUUUAUGUACCUGUGAUUAAUGAUGAUAAGAAGUGUCUGGACUUGGACAAGAAGAUGGAGAUUACAGCUAGUGUCUUGCGUUGGUUCACAGAUAUUUUUUACAUACUUCAUAUCAUUUUUCAGUUUCGCACUGGUUUUAUUGCUCCAUCUUCUCGAGUUUUUGGAAGAGGUGUUUUAGUUGAAGAUUCUUGGGCAAUAGCCAAGAGGUACUUGUCAUCGUAUUUCUUAGUGGACAUCCUUGCAGUCCUUCCACUUCCGCAGGUGGUGAUUUUAAUCAUAAUUCCAAAAAUGAGAGGAUCAAGAUCUUUGAAUACGAAGAACUUGUUAAAAUUUGUUGUGUGCUUCCAGUAUUUUCCAAGGGUUAUGCGACUCUAUCCAUUGUAUAAGGAAGUUACAAGAACUUCUGGCAUAUUGACAGAAACUGCAUGGGCAGGAGCCGCAUUUAAUCUGUUUCUUUACAUGCUUGCAAGUCAUGUAAGUUUGAUUACUAGAUUGUUAUUCAUUUUAUGGUAAGAUAAAUGCGAGGCAUCGAUCAUAUUGACGCAAAAUUUUCAUUAGUUAUUUACAUGGUGGAUUACUAUGUGCAGUAAUUAUUAGAAGCAUGAAACAUGAGUUUGCAGAACUAGCUUUAAUAUUUCAACUGCUAUUCUUCCGUCUGUAAAUUGAAUCUUGAAAGUUUCAUUGGCAUGCAUAAUAAACUGGAGGCAAACACUUUUUGGCGCUUGCCUUUAUGUGAUUAUUUCAUUAAUUUUAACUCUUUUGUUUAGUUUAUUUGGGAACUUCAUUCAUGGUCCACUUUCAUAUUUAUGUAAUUUGAUGUUGUCUAUGGCAUUAACAGGUGCACAAAUUCCAUUCAUUCUCUCUCUCUCUCUCAGGCACAGUUUGGCUGUUGACUAGUUCAAUAGUUCUGUUGAUGUAAUAAUGUUUGGUGCACUGGUAGAUAAUUGAAAAGCAAUAUUGGAAAAAAAAAUCUGUUCUUGUGUAAGUUUUGGACUUUUGAGCUGUUGGUUGUCAUCAAAUACUAAUUGACUGGCUGUUCUUUAUAGGUACUUGGAGCCUUUUGGUACUUGUUUUCUAUAGAAAGAGAAACAACAUGCUGGAAAAAAGCCUGUCGGUAUCCUGAUUGCAUCCGUGAUAAUUUGUACUGUGGUCCUAAUAAAGGAGACAAUGCAGCAUUUCUUAAUGUCUCUUGCCCUGUACAAACACCAAAUUCAACUAUUUUCGACUUUGGAAUAUUCCUUGAUGCCCUUCAAUCUGGUAUUGUGGCAUCUGAUGAUUUUCCAAAGAAGUUUUUUUACUGCUUUUGGUGGGGCCUGCGAAAUCUGAGUUCUCUUGGCCAAAACCUUGAAACAAGUACCUUUGUCUGGGAAAUCUGCUUUGCAGUUCUCAUUUCUAUCUCAGGAUUGGUGUUGUUUUCAUUUCUCAUUGGAAAUAUGCAGACAUAUUUGCAAUCCACAACCACAAGAUUGGAGGAAAUGAGAGUUAAGAGGCGAGAUGCAGAGCAAUGGAUGUCUCACCGCUUGCUUCCUGAGAAUCUGAGGGAGCAGAUCAGGCGACAUGAACAAUACAAAUGGCAAGAAACCAGAGGUGUUGAUGAAGAGAAUCUGGUGCAUAAUCUUCCCAAGGACCUUAGAAGAGACAUAAAGCGUCAUCUCUGCUUGGCCUUGCUUAUGAGGGUGAGUUCUUUCUCCUUUUAUUUCCAGGAAGGCUCCAUGAGCUGUUGUUAUUUAUUUAUUUUUAUUUAAUGAAAUGUUCUCUAGUACCUUCUUAAUGAAUUAAUUCAGCAUAUAUUACCAUUAUGUCCCCUUUAUUUGUUGUCUUCUUCUUUUUCCUCUUCCCUUUUUUAAGAUGUUAUCAAAAAAGGGAGAAUUUGCUAUUCCGGCUAGUGUGACUGUGACCAGUCAUGGCUCGUCUCCCAAUUUUAGUAAUUUAUAGUGACUUGGAGUGCAGCUAUGCCAGGUUCUUUUCUUAAUCAAAUGGUAGAAGACGACUGAUAACUAUCAGAAGUUGAAAUGUUUAGCUUCAUUCAUAUUUUUGCCUUGUAAAGGAGAUAUAAAUUAAUCAUCUUAAUGACCAAAUGCAUUUCAUGCCGGAAUAAACAUUAUUGGUAGUAUGUGUUUCUCUAUAAUACAUCAAUAAUCUCUGGAUCUUUAAUCUAUCCUGUACUGGAUGUAUUUUUAUUAAGGUACCAAUGUUUGAAAAAAUGGACGAGCAACUACUAGAUGCAAUGUGCGACCGGCUCAAGCCGGCACUCUACACAGAGGAAAGCUACAUCGUUCGGGAGGGAGACCCAGUUGAUGAGAUGCUCUUUAUCAUGCGAGGCAAGCUUAUAACCAUGACCACCAAUGGUGGACGAACUGGCUUCUUCAACUCUGAAUACCUCAAGGCUGGUGACUUUUGUGGAGAGGAAUUACUGACAUGGGCCCUAGAUCCCCACUCCUCAUCUAACCUUCCUAUAUCAACCAGAACUGUUAGAACCAUUACUGAAGUUGAAGCCUUUGCUCUAAUGGCUGAUGACUUGAAAUUUGUUGCUUCUCAAUUCCGGAGGCUACACAGUAAGCAACUCCGCCACACCUUCAGGUUUUAUUCACAGCAGUGGAGGACUUGGGCAGCAUGCUUUAUACAAGCAGCAUGGCGCAGGUAUAGUAAAAAGAAGCUUGAAGAGUCUCUCCGACAAGAGGAGAAUAGGUUGCAAGAUGCAUUAGCCAAUACAAGUGGGAACUCACCGAGUUUAGGUGCCACCAUAUAUGCCUCACGAUUUGCUGCUAAUGCACUUCGUGCCCUGCGGCGUACUGGUACUCGCAAGGCAAGGUUGUUGGAGAGAGUUCCACCAAUGCUGCUUCAAAAGCCUGCAGAACCCGAUUUUACAGCUGAAGAAAGAUAGACUUGGAUUAUUAGUGGUGAUAUUUUGUGUUUGAUUGCUGUGUACAAAGUGAAAUUAGAACUAUUUCAGCCAACAAAGAAAGACAUGAUAAAUGGGUAGAGGCUUGGGAUUGCACCAUUGAUAGUCACUUUUUGUUGGCGUAAUGAGGUUUGUGCAACACAUAUCUUGUCGUAUAUGGUGAUCUACGAUUGUACUUUUUCAGCUCCUUUCGGAAAAAACAAAAAUUGUUGGUUCUUAUUUCAUCAUAUACCAGAAGCGUGUUUAGCGAUCCUUUUUCGUUCUUAUCCCUUGUGAAAGCUGAGGAGCAAGCAUACAUGCCUACCAUUGUAAUCGGGUUGUUUACUAGGAAAGGUAACACGCCUAGCAAUUUCAAAAGGGCUAAUCGAGUGGAGAACAAUCUUGAUCUGCUUAUGCUCACCUUAAUUAAAUAAUGGGUGUGCCAUCAAGCGUGUUUAGCAUGGUAGCCCAGAUGUGUCGAUACAAUCACAGUCGAAUAUCGCUUGGGUGAUGAUAAAAGUUUUUCUAUUUUUCUAUUUAAUGUGUUUCACAGCUCCGGAGAUCUGCUCGUCCUAACCAAUCAAAAAACGGGGAAGA